GUGCUCACUUUGGCAGCACAUAUACUAAAAUUGGAAUGAUAUAGAGAAGAUUAGCAUGGCUCCUGUACAAGGAUGACACACAAAUUCAUGAAGCAUUCUAUGUUUUC
rnacentral:snRNA from 1 species